rnacentral:sRNA from 1 species
UUUUCUUUUGCUGGUGUAGCUCGUCCGGUUACCUUCAGGAAGAUUGGAUAACCAAGAAAUGACUAAUCAGGAGUCUGCCGUACAUGUGAAAAUGUGUAGCAGAAACCAGCCUUCUUCGAAGUGGUCUUGGUGUGAUUCUCCUAUCCGUUAUCAAAAACUUGAAGCUGUGAUUUGCCUGAGGUAAGACAUCUUGGGUACACUGAAAUCGAAUAUUUAAUUUUUUUGGUGAAAAAAUAGUCUAUGAUAUAUAUCCUGUGUUGCUUUCACCAUAAUGGAUUGGUUAUUGAAUCAAACAUAUGCUGAUUGCUGUGCAUCUGCCAGUUAAGGCUGAGGUAAGAACAAAAAUUAGUUGUCAAGAGAUAAACUUACUAGCUGAGGUAUUUGCAAGGGAGUUACAGAAGUGAUAUUCCAAAACAGCAGUGGUCCCUAAAACUCAGCAGAAAAGCAGAGUAAAUACUACUCAUCAUCAUAUCCUUAGCAUUUAGCAAGAGUGUGUGGCACAAAGUAGACACAUGGUAAAUAUUGGUUAGGCGAGUGAAUGGGUUAAUGUAUGAAAAAAAAAAAUAGGAACCAGUGCC